rnacentral:rRNA from 1 species
UAAGACGAAGGAUGCAAGCGUUAUCCGGAUUCAUUGGGUUUAAAGGGAGCGUAGGUGGCUUUGUAAGUCAGUGGUGAAAUCUUCUCGCUUAACGAGAAAACUGCCAUUGAUACUGCAGAGCUUGAGUACAGUUGCCGUUGGCGGAAUAUGACAUGUAGUGGUGAAAUACAUAGAGAUGUCAUAGAACACCGAUUGCGAAGGCAGCUAACGAAACUGUAACUGACACUGAGGCUCGAAAGUGCGGGGAUCAAACAGGAUUAGAUACCCUGGUAGUCCGCACUGUAAACGAUGAUUACUCGCUGCUGGAGGGCAACUUUCAGUGGCUUAGCGAAAGCGAUAAGUAAUCCACCUGGGGAGUACGCCGGCAACGGUG